rnacentral:rRNA from 1 species
GACGAACGCUGGCGGCGUGCUUAACACAUGCGAGUCGAACGGAAAGGCCCUGCUUGCAGGGUACUCGAGUGGCGAACGGGUGAGUAACACGUGGGUGAUCUGCCCUGCACUUCGGGAUAAGCCUGGGAAACUGGGUCUAAUACCGGAUAGGAGCCAUUUUUAGUGUGAUGGUUGGAAAGUUUUUUCGGUGUAGGAUGAGCUCGCGGCCUAUCAGCUUGUUGGUGGGGUAAUGGCCUACCAAGGCGGCGACGGGUAGCCGGCCUGAGAGGGUGGACGGCCACAUUGGGACUGAGAUACGGCCCAGACUCCUACGGGAGGCAGCAGGGGGGAAUAUUGCACAAUGGGCGCAAGCCUGAUGCAGAGACGCCGCGUGGGGGAUGACGGCCUUCGGGUUGUAAACUCCUUUCGCUAGGGACGAAGCUUUUUGUGACGGUACCUAGAUAAGAAGCACCGGCUAACUACGUG